GCGCCUCCCGCCGCCGCCCGCGUCGGCCACGCCGCCUCCACCCUCCUCCACGGCGCCCGCCACGCCGGCCUCCAAGAAGCACUGAACGACGUCCCCCUUCUUCCCCUUCUCCACGCCCAGCCCCAGCCCGGCGCACCACUUCUUCUCCUCCUCCUCGGCGGCCUCCCCAAAGGCCUCCUCCAAACGCCGCGGAUCCCCACGGACGCCGCGGCAGGGCAUGGUCGCGUUAAUCGCAUGGAGGGUCGAGUCGAGGAAAGCGACGACCUCGCAGGCAUCGGGUCAAGCGGCUGGCCCUUCUUACGCGAUGGCGCCGUUCUUUUCUUCCCCGACAGAGAUUGGUGCCGCCAUGGCCGCAUCAUGGAUUUUGUCUGCGUGCCAUCCGUGCCCCUCUGACGAUGCCCUGCAUCGCCACUGAUUUGGGAGUCUGUUAUUUUUUUUUGCGCUGGAUCCUGAUUUGGGCGGGAUUUUUUUCCCAGGCAUUGAGAGCGCGCUGGACAGCGGGAACUGUCGCGUCAAGGAGGACGCUAUGGACGGUGGAUCCUGGGCACUGCACGUUGCUGUCGGCCACGGGAGGAUGCCAUACCCUUUGGGCGCAACAAACUCUUGGCCAUAGCCUCUUCCGCUUUUCACAACAAGAAAGAGAUGCAUAUGAGAGGAAGAGAGCCUCCCCCAAGCUCCGUCUAGGCGAUACAUGGGAAAUUUGGAAAUUUGGAAACUAUCAAGGAGAUGUCGAAUGAUGAAUAUACUCAGAUACUGAGACACAUUCUAAAACGUGUUUACGCAGGUGAUGGGGCUGCUGCCAACUUGGGCCCGCUCAAGAACGGCGACUCUACAGGAGGGGGGUGGAGUCGCGGAAGCUCCUGUGCUAUUGGGAGCGACGAUUCCACAAUGAGCCGGUCUUUCGUCACCGACGAGUUGGAGGAUGUCCAAGCCCGGAAGUGUUCGUCACCACUGAGCCGCGGCUGAGAUAAUACUGACGCGAUGUCCAGAUUUGGAUGUCUCAUCUCUGAACAUUUGAAACGCCGAGUACUCCAUGAAAGCUUGCCUAGCCCUUUUGCGCAAUAUUAUAUCUUUGGACGUUUGCACUUCCGCGGCUCUAGACAUGAGCUUCCUUAUAUGAGUGCUAGCGCGCUACAUUGCAGAGAAAGCUUUGAGAAAAUGCUUUGUUCGGAUGAUAGACAAGAAUAAUCAAUCCUCAUUCCAAGGUUGCGAGCCGGCUGCGCCAUCAACGACGAUGGCGAGUUUGGAUUAGAAAUGCGAAGAUGAGAAGAUAGUUGGAGAGGAAGAAGGUAUAAAAUCGACAAUAGCGUCUGAUGUGCGUGCGGAUCCUAAUGGUACAUGUUUGACGCGAUCGGUGCUAACCUAAUAAGAUAUAUGCGGUGGCGCGAGGUGGGGCGGCAAUGAGGCGGUUGUGCUGCAUGAGGCAGCCAAGUCCAAGGCUGCACCGGGGAGGCUCCUGUUGGGGUGACGCAUGGGCGGCAGCCACCCCCAAGACCCUGUUAGCAUAAUGUCAUAACGAUAUAUUAAUAUUGAUUGUUGUGCAAAGGAGAAGGUUAUUGUUUGUAGUUAUAUUAGUUUAUUUCCUCAAUAUACAAUGACCUGGCUUAUUCUGUGUCCAAGAGGAAGGAAAAAUAUAUUUCUAGGUGUCAUGUGACUUACCUUUUAAAAGGAAUAAUCUCAUGCUAUUCAGGCUUCACUAUUUGCUUCACAGAACUAUUGUAGCCAUAAAAAGAAAGGCCAUCAUGGAGUAUAUAUAACAUCGUUUUUCUA